rnacentral:lncRNA from 1 species
CGUCCACCGAACGCUGUGAUACCGGGGUGUGAGUGUAUGUCGGAUAAGAUCAGACUGUGUUGUCUCCUGAGGGAUUGUUUUAUGGAUACCCAGCACUCCUGUACAUUUAAAUAGAAUGCAAACAAAAAAAAAACCAAAACAUUGCAAAAAAUGAGAAAAACAUUGCACAUUUAAAGCCUAAACAUGGUCAGUUGUCGUCACAGCAGCCUUUUCUCCCUGUUUCUCCGUGGUCGUCCGCGAGAUGCGAGUUUCUCCUCAGUGCGGUGUGAAUAUGGUCUUUCUGAAUUUCCCACUCUCUUUCCUACAGCCAUCUCUUACGCACCCGCUGGGCCUUACCCAGCCCCUCCCACAGUAGCUGCGAUGGUGCCCCCCCCUCCGGGAGAGAUAGGGUUCAAGGUGUCAGAACAGCUCCCUCCAGUGGACAGCGAAGCUCCGGCCCCGUGCGAGACGAGUGUGCCUGUGGGCUGCGUGGAGCUGGUGGUGAGCGCCUUCGACGACAAGAACGUCCGCAGGGCCUUCAUCAGAAAGGUGUUCUGUGUGCUGACUGUGCUGUAUCUCUCUUUGACUCCAGGUGUUCUGUGUGCUGUAUCUCUCUCUGACUCCAGGUGAUCAGUGUGCUGACUGUGUUGUAUCUCUCUCCGACUCCAGGCGAUCAGUGUGCUGACUGUGCUGUA